UACGGGGGGGGCAAGCGUUGUUCGGAAUUACUGGGCGUAAAGGGUCUGUAGGUGGCCAACUAAGUCAGACGUGAAAUCCCUCAGCUUAACUGGGGAACUGCGUCUGAGACUGGUGAGCUUGAGUGCAGGAGAGGAACGCGGAAUUCCAGGUGUAGCGGUGAAAUGCGUAGAUAUCUGGAGGAACACCGGUGGCGAAGGCGGCGUUCUGGACUGCUACUGACACUGAGGAACGAAAGCCAGGGAGCAAACGGG
rnacentral:rRNA from 1 species